CUCAGGACGAACGCUGGCGGCGUGCCUAAUACAUGCAAGUCGAGCGGACAGAAGGGAGCUUGCUCCCGGAUGUUAGCGGCGGACGGGUGAGUAACACGUGGGUAACCUGCCUGUAAGACUGGGAUAACUCCGGGAAACCGGAGCUAAUACCGGAUAGUUCCUUGAACCGCAUGGUUCAAGGAUGAAAGACGGUUUCGGCUGUCACUUACAGAUGGACCCGCGGCGCAUUAGCUAGUUGGUGGGGUAAUGGCUCACCAAGGCGACGAUGCGUAGCCGACCUGAGAGGGUGAUCGGCCACACUGGGACUGAGACACGGCCCAGACUCCUACGGGAGGCAGCAGUAGGGAAUYUUCCGCAAUGGACGAAAGUCUGACGGAGCAACGCCGCGUGAGUGAUGAAGGUUUUCGGAUYGUAAARCUYUGUUGUUAGGGAAGAACAAGUGCGAGAGUAACUGCUUGCACCUUGACGGUACCUAACCAGAAAACCMCGGCUAACUACGUGCCAGCAGCCGCGGUAAUACGUAGGUGGCAAGCGUUGUCCGGAAUUAUUGGGCGUAAAGGGCUCGCCGGCGGUUUCUUAAGUYUGAUGUGAAAGCCCCCGGCUCAACCGGGGAGGGUCAUUGGAAACUGGGAAACUUGAGUGCAGAAGAGGAGAGUGGAAUUCCACGUGUAGCGGUGAAAUGCGUAGAGAUGUGGAGGAACACCAGUGGCGAAGGCGACUCUCUGGUCUGUAACUGACGCUGAGGAGCGAAAGCGUGGGGAGCGAACAGGAUUAGAUACCCUGGUAGUCCACGCCGUAAACGAUGAGUGCUAAGUGUUAGGGGGUUUCCGCCCCUCAGUGCUGCAGCUUAC
rnacentral:rRNA from 1 species